GGCCCAGCUUUCCGGUCUGCAUUCAUAGCGACGUCGCUUUUUGAUUCUUCGAUGUCGGCUCUUCCGAUCAUUGUGAAGCAGAAUUCACCAAGCCUU